rnacentral:rRNA from 1 species
AACGCGAAGAACCUUACCUGGGCUUGAACCGCUACUGACCAAGGGUAGAAAUAUCCUCUUCCCGCAAGGGACAGUAGUAGAGGUGCUGCAUGGCUGUCGUCAGCUCGUGCCGUGAGGUGUUGGGUUAAGUCCCGCAACGAGCGCAACCCUUAUUCGUAGUUGCCACCCGCAAGGGGGAACUCUACGAGGACUGCUCCGGAUAACGGAGAGGAAGGUGGGGAUGACGUCAAGUCAGCACGGCCUUUAUGUCCAGGGCUACACACGUGUUACAAUGCACGGUACAGACUGUUGCGAACCCGCGAGGGGGAGCUAAUCGGAAAAAACCGUGCUCAGUUCGGAUUGCAGUCUGCAACUCGACUGCAUGAAGCUGGAAUCGCUAGUAAUGGCGUAUCAGAUCGACGCCGUGAAUACGUUCCCGGGCCUUGUA